UACGAGUGCCCCAAGCGUUAUCCGGAAUCAUUGGGCGUAAAGGGUGCGUAGGCGGCGCGGUAAGUCGGGUGUGAAAUCUCGGAGCUUAACUUCGAAACUGCAUUCGAUACUGCCGUGCUUGAGGACUGGAGAGGAGACUGGAAUUUACGGUGUAGCGGUGAAAUGCGUAGAUAUCGUAAGGAAGACCAGUGGCGAAGGCGGGUCUCUGGGCAGUUCCUGACACUGAGGCACGAAGGCCAGGGGAGCAAACGGG
rnacentral:rRNA from 1 species